rnacentral:rRNA from 1 species
GACGAACGCUGGCGGCGUGCCUAAUACAUGCAAGUAGAACGCACAGUUUAUACCGUAGCUUGCUACACCAUAGACUGUGAGUUGCGAACGGGUGAGUAACGCGUAGGUAACCUGCCUGGUAGCGGGGGAUAACUAUUGGAAACGAUAGCUAAUACCGCAUAAUAUUAAUUAUUGCAUGAUAAUUAAUUGAAAGGUGCAAUUGCACCACUACCAGAUGGACCUGCGUUGUAUUAGCUAGUAGGUGAGGUAACGGCUCACCUAGGCGACGAUACAUAGCCGACCUGAGAGGGUGAUCGGCCACACUGGGACUGCGACACGGCCCAGACUCCUACGGGAGGCAGCAGUAGGGAAUCUUCGGCAAUGGACGAAAGUCUGACCGAGCAACGCCGCGUGAGUGAAGAAGGUUUUCGGAUCGUAAAGCUCUGUUGUAAGAGAAGAACGGGUGUGAGAGUGGAAAGUUCACACAGUGACGGUAUCUUACCAGAAAGGGACGGCUAACUACGUG